rnacentral:rRNA from 1 species
GAUGAACGCUAGCGGAAGGCUUAAUACAUGCAAGUCGAGCGGUAGGUGGCUUCGGCCAUUGAGAGCGGCGCACGGGUGAGUAACGCGUACAUGACCUGCCUGUCAGAAGGGGAUAGCCCUGGGAAACUGGGAUUAAUACCCUAUGGUAUUGAUAUUAUGAAUGAUAUCAAUUAAAGUUGAGGCGCUGACAGAUGGAUGUGCGUCUGAUUAGCUAGUUGGUAGGUAACGGCCUACCAAGGCGACGAUCAGUAGGGGGCGUGAGAGCGUGGUCCCCCACACGGGUACUGAGACACGGACCCGACUCCUACGGGAGGCAGCAGUAAGGAAUAUUGGUCAAUGCCCCGCAAGGGUGAACCAGCCAUUCCGCGUGGAGGAUGAAGGCCCUAUGGGUUGUAAACUUCUUUUAGAUGGGAAGAAAAUGCUAGAUGUAUCUGGUACUGACGGUACCAUCAGAAUAAGCAACC